AAGUCGUAACAAGGUUUCCGUAGGUGAACCUGCGGAAGGAUCAUUAACGAACGAGGAAUUCAAUUUACUUGAAUUUCCUUGGGAUCAACCAAAAACCUGUAUGAAAAUAUAUAUGUAUAUCGAUUAAUAGUCGAAAUACGCAAAUAAUUUUAAUAAAAUACAAAACUUUCAACAACGGAUCUCUUGGCUCUU
rnacentral:misc_RNA from 1 species